rnacentral:lncRNA from 1 species
CACCGGUUGCGCAGUCCCUCCCCGCCCCCGCUCUCCCCUCCGCAGCCUGCAGCCCGAGACUUCUGUAAAGGACUGGGGCCCCGCAACUGGCCUCUCCUGCCCUCUUAAGCGCAGCGCCAUUUUAGCAACGCAGAAGCCCGGCGCCGGGAAGCCUCAGCUCGCCUGAAGGUGGUAAACUAUACCUACUGUCCCUCAAGAGAACACAAGAAGUGCUUUAAGAGGCGGCGGAAGGUGAUCGAAUUCCGGUGAUGCGAGUUGUUCUCCGUCUAUAAAUACGCCUCGCCCGAGCUGUGCGGUAGGCAUUGAGGCAGCCAGCGCAGGGGCUUCUGCUGAGGGGGCAGGCGGAGCUUGAGGAAACCGCAGAUAAGUUUUUUUCUCUUUGAAAGAUAGAGAUUAAUACAACUACUUAAAAAAUAUAGUCAAUAGGUUACUAAGAUAUUGCUUAGCGUUAAGUUUUUAACGUAAUUUUAAUAGCUUAAGAUUUUAAGAGAAAAUAUGAAGACUUAGAAGAGUAGCAUGAGGAAGGAAAAGAUAAAAGGUUUCUAAAACAUGACGGAGGUUGAGAUGAAGCUUCUUCAUGGAGUAAAAAAUGUAUUUAAAAGAAAAUUGAGAGAAAGGACUACAGAGCCCCGAAUUAAUACCAAUAGAAGGGCAAUGCUUUUAGAUUAAAAUGAAGGUGACUUAAACAGCUUAAAGUUUAGUUUAAAAGUUGUAGGUGAUUAAAAUAAUUUGAAGGCGAUCUUUUAAAAAGAGAUUAAACCGAAGGUGAUUAAAAGACCUUGAAAUCCAUGACGCAGGGAGAAUUGCGUCAUUUAAAGCCUAGUUAACGCAUUUACUAAACGCAGACGAAAAUGGAAAGAUUAAUUGGGAGUGGUAGGAUGAAACAAUUUGGAGAAGAUAGAAGUUUGAAGUGGAAAACUGGAAGACAGAAGUACGGGAAGGCGAAGAAAAGAAUAGAGAAGAUAGGGAAAUUAGAAGAUAAAAACAUACUUUUAGAAGAAAAAAGAUAAAUUUAAACCUGAAAAGUAGGAAGCAGAAGAAAAAAGACAAGCUAGGAAACAAAAAGCUAAGGGCAAAAUGUACAAACUUAGAAGAAAAUUGGAAGAUAGAAACAAGAUAGAAAAUGAAAAUAUUGUCAAGAGUUUCAGAUAGAAAAUGAAAAACAAGCUAAGACAAGUAUUGGAGAAGUAUAGAAGAUAGAAAAAUAUAAAGCCAAAAAUUGGAUAAAAUAGCACUGAAAAAAUGAGGAAAUUAUUGGUAACCAAUUUAUUUUAAAAGCCCAUCAAUUUAAUUUCUGGUGGUGCAGAAGUUAGAAGGUAAAGCUUGAGAAGAUGAGGGUGUUUACGUAGACCAGAACCAAUUUAGAAGAAUACUUGAAGCUAGAAGGGGAAGUUGGUUAAAAAUCACAUCAAAAAGCUACUAAAAGGACUGGUGUAAUUUAAAAAAAACUAAGGCAGAAGGCUUUUGGAAGAGUUAGAAGAAUUUGGAAGGCCUUAAAUAUAGUAGCUUAGUUUGAAAAAUGUGAAGGACUUUCGUAACGGAAGUAAUUCAAGAUCAAGAGUAAUUACCAACUUAAUGUUUUUGCAUUGGACUUUGAGUUAAGAUUAUUUUUUAAAUCCUGAGGACUAGCAUUAAUUGACAGCUGACCCAGGUGCUACACAGAAGUGGAUUCAGUGAAUCUAGGAAGACAGCAGCAGACAGGAUUCCAGGAACCAGUGUUUGAUGAAGCUAGGACUGAGGAGCAAGCGAGCAAGCAGCAGUUCGUGGUGAAGAUAGGAAAAGAGUCCAGGAGCCAGUGCGAUUUGGUGAAGGAAGCUAGGAAGAAGGAAGGAGCGCUAACGAUUUGGUGGUGAAGCUAGGAAAAAGGAUUCCAGGAAGGAGCGAGUGCAAUUUGGUGAUGAAGGUAGCAGGCGGCUUGGCUUGGCAACCACACGGAGGAGGCGAGCAGGCGUUGUGCGUAGAGGAUCCUAGACCAGCAUGCCAGUGUGCCAAGGCCACAGGGAAAGCGAGUGGUUGGUAAAAAUCCGUGAGGUCGGCAAUAUGUUGUUUUUCUGGAACUUACUUAUGGUAACCUUUUAUUUAUUUUCUAAUAUAAUGGGGGAGUUUCGUACUGAGGUGUAAAGGGAUUUAUAUGGGGACGUAGGCCGAUUUCCGGGUGUUGUAGGUUUCUCUUUUUCAGGCUUAUACUCAUGAAUCUUGUCUGAAGCUUUUGAGGGCAGACUGCCAAGUCCUGGAGAAAUAGUAGAUGGCAAGUUUGUGGGUUUUUUUUUUUUACACGAAUUUGAGGAAAACCAAAUGAAUUUGAUAGCCAAAUUGAGACAAUUUCAGCAAAUCUGUAAGCAGUUUGUAUGUUUAGUUGGGGUAAUGAAGUAUUUCAGUUUUGUGAAUAGAUGACCUGUUUUUACUUCCUCACCCUGAAUUCGUUUUGUAAAUGUAGAGUUUGGAUGUGUAACUGAGGCGGGGGGGAGUUUUCAGUAUUUUUUUUUGUGGGGGUGGGGGCAAAAUAUGUUUUCAGUUCUUUUUCCCUUAGGUCUGUCUAGAAUCCUAAAGGCAAAUGACUCAAGGUGUAACAGAAAACAAGAAAAUCCAAUAUCAGGAUAAUCAGACCACCACAGGUUUACAGUUUAUAGAAACUAGAGCAGUUCUCACGUUGAGGUCUGUGGAAGAGAUGUCCAUUGGAGAAAUGGCUGGUAGUUACUCUUUUUUCCCCCCACCCCCUUAAUCAGACUUUAAAAGUGCUUAACCCCUUAAACUUGUUAUUUUUUACUUGAAGCAUUUUGGGAUGGUCUUAACAGGGAAGAGAGAGGGUGGGGGAGAAAAUGUUUUUUUCUAAGAUUUUCCACAGAUGCUAUAGUACUAUUGACAAACUGGGUUAGAGAAGGAGUGUACCGCUGUGCUGUUGGCACGAACACCUUCAGGGACUGGAGCUGCUUUUAUCCUUGGAAGAGUAUUCCCAGUUGAAGCUGAAAAGUACAGCACAGUGCAGCUUUGGUUCAUAUUCAGUCAUCUCAGGAGAACUUCAGAAGAGCUUGAGUAGGCCAAAUGUUGAAGUUAAGUUUUCCAAUAAUGUGACUUCUUAAAAGUUUUAUUAAAGGGGAGGGGCAAAUAUUGGCAAUUAGUUGGCAGUGGCCUGUUACGGUUGGGAUUGGUGGGGUGGGUUUAGGUAAUUGUUUAGUUUAUGAUUGCAGAUAAACUCAUGCCAGAGAACUUAAAGUCUUAGAAUGGAAAAAGUAAAGAAAUAUCAACUUCCAAGUUGGCAAGUAACUCCCAAUGAUUUAGUUUUUUUCCCCCCAGUUUGAAUUGGGAAGCUGGGGGAAGUUAAAUAUGAGCCACUGGGUGUACCAGUGCAUUAAUUUGGGCAAGGAAAGUGUCAUAAUUUGAUACUGUAUCUGUUUUCCUUCAAAGUAUAGAGCUUUUGGGGAAGGAAAGUAUUGAACUGGGGGUUGGUCUGGCCUACUGGGCUGACAUUAACUACAAUUAUGGGAAAUGCAAAAGUUGUUUGGAUAUGGUAGUGUGUGGUUCUCUUUUGGAAUUUUUUUCAGGUGAUUUAAUAAUAAUUUAAAACUACUAUAGAAACUGCAGAGCAAAGGAAGUGGCUUAAUGAUCCUGAAGGGAUUUCUUCUGAUGGUAGCUUUUGUAUUAUCAAGUAAGAUUCUAUUUUCAGUUGUGUGUAAGCAAGUUUUUUUUUAGUGUAGGAGAAAUACUUUUCCAUUGUUUAACUGCAAAACAAGAUGUUAAGGUAUGCUUCAAAAAUUUUGUAAAUUGUUUAUUUUAAACUUAUCUGUUUGUAAAUUGUAACUGAUUAAGAAUUGUGAUAGUUCAGCUUGAAUGUCUCUUAGAGGGUGGGCUUUUGUUGAUGAGGGAGGGGAAACUUUUUUUUUUUCUAUAGACUUUUUUCAGAUAACAUCUUCUGAGUCAUAACCAGCCUGGCAGUAUGAUGGCCUAGAUGCAGAGAAAACAGCUCCUUGGUGAAUUGAUAAGUAAAGGCAGAAAAGAUUAUAUGUCAUACCUCCAUUGGGGAAUAAGCAUAACCCUGAGAUUCUUACUACUGAUGAGAACAUUAUCUGCAUAUGCCAAAAAAUUUUAAGCAAAUGAAAGCUACCAAUUUAAAGUUACGGAAUCUACCAUUUUAAAGUUAAUUGCUUGUCAAGCUAUAACCACAAAAAUAAUGAAUUGAUGAGAAAUACAAUGAAGAGGCAAUGUCCAUCUCAAAAUACUGCUUUUACAAAAGCAGAAUAAAAGCGAAAAGAAAUGAAAAUGUUACACUACAUUAAUCCUGGAAUAAAAGAAGCCGAAAUAAAUGAGAGAUGAGUUGGGAUCAAGUGGAUUGAGGAGGCUGUGCUGUGUGCCAAUGUUUCGUUUGCCUCAGACAGGUAUCUCUUCGUUAUCAGAAGAGUUGCUUCAUUUCAUCUGGGAGCAGAAAACAGCAGGCAGCUGUUAACAGAUAAGUUUAACUUGCAUCUGCAGUAUUGCAUGUUAGGGAUAAGUGCUUAUUUUUAAGAGCUGUGGAGUUCUUAAAUAUCAACCAUGGCACUUUCUCCUGACCCCUUCCCUAGGGGAUUUCAGGAUUGAGAAAUUUUUCCAUCGAGCCUUUUUAAAAUUGUAGGACUUGUUCCUGUGGGCUUCAGUGAUGGGAUAGUACACUUCACUCAGAGGCAUUUGCAUCUUUAAAUAAUUUCUUAAAAGCCUCUAAAGUGAUCAGUGCCUUGAUGCCAACUAAGGAAAUUUGUUUAGCAUUGAAUCUCUGAAGGCUCUAUGAAAGGAAUAGCAUGAUGUGCUGUUAGAAUCAGAUGUUACUGCUAAAAUUUACAUGUUGUGAUGUAAAUUGUGUAGAAAACCAUUAAAUCAUUCAAAAUAAUAAACUAUUUUUAUUAGAGAAUGUAUACUUUUAGAAAGCUGUCUCCUUAUUUAAAUAAAAUAGUGUUUGUCUGUAGUUCAGUGUUGGGGCAAUCUUGGGGGGGAUUCUUCUCUAAUCUUUCAGAAACUUUGUCUGCGAACACUCUUUAAUGGACCAGAUCAGGAUUUGAGCGGAAGAACGAAUGUAACUUUAAGGCAGGAAAGACAAAUUUUAUUCUUCAUAAAGUGAUGAGCAUAUAAUAAUUCCAGGCACAUGGCAAUAGAGGCCCUCUAAAUAAGGAAUAAAUAACCUCUUAGACAGGUGGGAGAUUAUGAUCAGAGUAAAAGGUAAUUACACAUUUUAUUUCCAGAAAGUCAGGGGUCUAUAAAUUGACAGUGAUUAGAGUAAUACUUUUUCACAUUUCCAAAGUUUGCAUGUUAACUUUAAAUGCUUACAAUCUUAGAGUGGUAGGCAAUGUUUUACACUAUUGACCUUAUAUAGGGAAGGGAGGGGGUGCCUGUGGGGUUUUAAAGAAUUUUCCUUUGCAGAGGCAUUUCAUCCUUCAUGAAGCCAUUCAGGAUUUUGAAUUGCAUAUGAGUGCUUGGCUCUUCCUUCUGUUCUAGUGAGUGUAUGAGACCUUGCAGUGAGUUUAUCAGCAUACUCAAAAUUUUUUUCCUGGAAUUUGGAGGGAUGGGAGGAGGGGGUGGGGCUUACUUGUUGUAGCUUUUUUUUUUUUUACAGACUUCACAGAGAAUGCAGUUGUCUUGACUUCAGGUCUGUCUGUUCUGUUGGCAAGUAAAUGCAGUACUGUUCUGAUCCCGCUGCUAUUAGAAUGCAUUGUGAAACGACUGGAGUAUGAUUAAAAGUUGUGUUCCCCAAUGCUUGGAGUAGUGAUUGUUGAAGGAAAAAAUCCAGCUGAGUGAUAAAGGCUGAGUGUUGAGGAAAUUUCUGCAGUUUUAAGCAGUCGUAUUUGUGAUUGAAGCUGAGUACAUUUUGCUGGUGUAUUUUUAGGUAAAAUGCUUUUUGUUCAUUUCUGGUGGUGGGAGGGGACUGAAGCCUUUAGUCUUUUCCAGAUGCAACCUUAAAAUCAGUGACAAGAAACAUUCCAAACAAGCAACAGUCUUCAAGAAAUUAAACUGGCAAGUGGAAAUGUUUAAACAGUUCAGUGAUCUUUAGUGCAUUGUUUAUGUGUGGGUUUCUCUCUCCCCUCCCUUGGUCUUAAUUCUUACAUGCAGGAACACUCAGCAGACACACGUAUGCGAAGGGCCAGAGAAGCCAGACCCAGUAAGAAAAAAUAGCCUAUUUACUUUAAAUAAACCAAACAUUCCAUUUUAAAUGUGGGGAUUGGGAACCACUAGUUCUUUCAGAUGGUAUUCUUCAGACUAUAGAAGGAGCUUCCAGUUGAAUUCACCAGUGGACAAAAUGAGGAAAACAGGUGAACAAGCUUUUUCUGUAUUUACAUACAAAGUCAGAUCAGUUAUGGGACAAUAGUAUUGAAUAGAUUUCAGCUUUAUGCUGGAGUAACUGGCAUGUGAGCAAACUGUGUUGGCGUGGGGGUGGAGGGGUGAGGUGGGCGCUAAGCCUUUUUUUAAGAUUUUUCAGGUACCCCUCACUAAAGGCACCGAAGGCUUAAAGUAGGACAACCAUGGAGCCUUCCUGUGGCAGGAGAGACAACAAAGCGCUAUUAUCCUAAGGUCAAGAGAAGUGUCAGCCUCACCUGAUUUUUAUUAGUAAUGAGGACUUGCCUCAACUCCCUCUUUCUGGAGUGAAGCAUCCGAAGGAAUGCUUGAAGUACCCCUGGGCUUCUCUUAACAUUUAAGCAAGCUGUUUUUAUAGCAGCUCUUAAUAAUAAAGCCCAAAUCUCAAGCGGUGCUUGAAGGGGAGGGAAAGGGGGAAAGCGGGCAACCACUUUUCCCUAGCUUUUCCAGAAGCCUGUUAAAAGCAAGGUCUCCCCACAAGCAACUUCUCUGCCACAUCGCCACCCCGUGCCUUUUGAUCUAGCACAGACCCUUCACCCCUCACCUCGAUGCAGCCAGUAGCUUGGAUCCUUGUGGGCAUGAUCCAUAAUCGGUUUCAAGGUAACGAUGGUGUCGAGGUCUUUGGUGGGUUGAACUAUGUUAGAAAAGGCCAUUAAUUUGCCUGCAAAUUGUUAACAGAAGGGUAUUAAAACCACAGCUAAGUAGCUCUAUUAUAAUACUUAUCCAGUGACUAAAACCAACUUAAACCAGUAAGUGGAGAAAUAACAUGUUCAAGAACUGUAAUGCUGGGUGGGAACAUGUAACUUGUAGACUGGAGAAGAUAGGCAUUUGAGUGGCUGAGAGGGCUUUUGGGUGGGAAUGCAAAAAUUCUCUGCUAAGACUUUUUCAGGUGAACAUAACAGACUUGGCCAAGCUAGCAUCUUAGCGGAAGCUGAUCUCCAAUGCUCUUCAGUAGGGUCAUGAAGGUUUUUCUUUUCCUGAGAAAACAACACGUAUUGUUUUCUCAGGUUUUGCUUUUUGGCCUUUUUCUAGCUUAAAAAAAAAAAAAGCAAAAGAUGCUGGUGGUUGGCACUCCUGGUUUCCAGGACGGGGUUCAAAUCCCUGCGGCGUCUUUGCUUUGACUACUAAUCUGUCUUCAGGACUCUUUCUGUAUUUCUCCUUUUCUCUGCAGGUGCUAGUUCUUGGAGUUUUGGGGAGGUGGGAGGUAACAGCACAAUAUCUUUGAACUAUAUACAUCCUUGAUGUAUAAUUUGUCAGGAGCUUGACUUGAUUGUAUAUUCAUAUUUACACGAGAACCUAAUAUAACUGCCUUGUCUUUUUCAGGUAAUAGCCUGCAGCUGGUGUUUUGAGAAGCCCUACUGCUGAAAACUUAACAAUUUUGUGUAAUAAAAAUGGAGAAGCU